rnacentral:rRNA from 1 species
AUAUUGGGGAGAGACCGAUAGCGAACAAGUACCGUGAGGGAAAGAUGAAAAGCACUUUGGAAAGAGAGUUAAACAGUACGUGAAAUUGUCAAAAGGGAACCAUUUGAAGUUAGUCAUGCUUGCCUGGACUCAGCCUUGCUUUUGCUUGGUGCAUUUCCAGGUUUGCAGGUCAGCAUCGGUUUUGACUGCUGGAUAAGGGUGAGAGGAAUGUGGCACCCUCGGGUGUGUUAUAGCCUUUCACUGGAUGCAGCAGUUGGGACCGAGGAACGCAGCGCGCCUUUAUGGCGGACCUUCGGGUACCUUCACACUUAGGAUGCUGGCGUAAUGGCUUUAAGCGACCCGU